CUACGGAGGCAGCAGUGAGGAAUUUUGCGCAAUGGGGGGAACCCUGACGCAGCAACGCCUCGUGAGUGAUGAAGGCUUUCGGGUCGUAAAGCUCUGUCAAGUGGGAAGAACCUAUGCAGUGUUAAUAUCACUGUAUACUGACGGUACCACUGAAGGAAGCACCGGCUAACUCCGUGCCAGCAGCCGCGGUAAUACGGGGGGUGCAAGCGUUAUUCGGAAUCAUUGGGCGUAAAGGGCACGUAGGCGGCUUGGUAAGUCAGAUGUGAAAGCCCGGGGCUUAACCCCGGAAGUGCAUUUGAUACUGUCAGGCUUGAGUAUGGGAGAGGGAAGUGGAAUUCCUGGUGUAGAGGUGAAAUUCGUAGAUAUCAGGAGGAACACCGGUGGCGACGGCGACUUCCUGGACCAAUACUGACGCUGAGGUGCGAAGGCGUGGGUAGCAAACAGGAUUAGAUACCCCCGUAGUC
rnacentral:rRNA from 1 species